rnacentral:rRNA from 1 species
UACGGGGGGGGCAAGCGUUGUUCGGAAUUACUGGGCGUAAAGGGCGCGUAGGCGGUGCUCUAAGUCGGAUGUGAAAACUCUGGGCUCAACCCAGAGCCUGCAUCCGAAACUGGAGUGCUAGAGUUCUGGAGGGGGUAGCGGAAUUCCUGGUGUAGCGGUGAAAUGCGUAGAUAUUGGGAGGAACACCAGUGGCGAAGGCGGCUACCUGGACCGGUUCUGACGCUGAGGCGCGAAAGCGUGGGUAGCAAACAGG